UACGUAGGCAGCAAGCGUUGUUCGGAGUUACUGGGCGUAAAGGGUGUGUAGGCGGUUCUUUUAAGUUUGGUGUGAAAUCUCCCGGCUCAACCGGGAGGGUGCGUCGAAUACUGAGGAACUAGAGUGUGGGAGAGGAAAGUGGAAUUCCUGGUGUAGCGGUGAAAUGCGUAGAUAUCAGGAGGAACACCGGUGGUGUAGACGGCUUGCUGGACCAUGACUGACGCUGAGGCACGAAAGCGUGGGGAGCAAACAGG
rnacentral:rRNA from 1 species